rnacentral:snRNA from 1 species
GCGAACCGGGAAGAGCCCA